UAGCUGAGUUUUGAGAAAACACAUUUAAGGAAAACUUCAACUCUUCAACUUUUUGCUUAUUUACUCAUAAAUAUUCUGUGCUAUUGAGAAAAAAACAUGUUUCAGGGGCUGUAAAGGAUAACUUCAGUUUAUUACAACUGGGAUCUUACAUUCAUAGUUUUUGACCAUCAUUUCUAUUGCCUUAAUCGCAUUCUCUUUUCCAAGGUAAAGACAUCAUUCAGGGCAAAAAACGUUGUUUGAUUUUGACCAGUGAUCAUUGAAUUAUUUUGGAAGUAAUGGAAAAUCAUUCACAACAUAGCAGGGAGAUCUGGCCGAGCCAUGUUUUAUAAUACAUUGAUGUAUCAGCCGGGCGUCUCAGACUGGAGCUGAUGGACGAUAGUGACCUUUCUCUCCUGAUAGCCAGCGAUGACCACUGUAUAUCAGCUGGCCACAAUCAAUACAUCCAUAAAAAGGCCUUGAAGCGCCCACGCAAGUGCAGGAAGGUAGAGAUGCACACAACCGGUACAUAUAUAUAGAACAAGUGAAUGCACUCAUCUGCUAAUUGCAAGGGAGGAACAGACGGCGAAAGGGAUGGAUGAGGCGAGCAAAAGAAGGUGAAAAUUACAGUGGUCCUUUUUUUUCUGGCUUGCACCGCUCCAUCGUGUAUCUGUCAGCAAGAAGUGAGGUGUGUGCACCGGUGCAGUGAGGGAGCCUCCAGUAGCCU